UACGAAGGUCCCAAGCGUUGUUCGGAUUUACUGGGCGUAAAGAGUCUGUAGGCGGUGGGGUAAGUCAGAUGUGAAAUCCCGGGGCUCAACCCCGGAACUGCAUCCGAUACUGCCUUACUUGAGGGUCGGAGGGGAGUCUGGAAUUCUCGGUGUAGCAGUGAAAUGCGUAGAUAUCGAGAGGAACACUAGUGGCGAAGGCGAGACUCUGGACGACAACUGACGCUGAGAGACGAAGGCCAGGGGAGCGAAAAGG
rnacentral:rRNA from 1 species